rnacentral:lncRNA from 1 species
GGUGGAGGACACGGGCUUCUCUAGGAGGGCGUGAAAAUUCCAGGCAUCCACAGGUGCCGCGAGAGGAGUCCUGAGAAAGUCAUUAGUCAACAGCGCUGUAGCUUGAGCCUCAGCCCGGCAGCCAUAGAACGCCCAGGAUCUGUUGAUCUUCAAGGCUGUGAAGGUGGACUUGGUGCAGGAGGAAUGUGAGAAGUCCUUGGUGAGACAAAUGAAAAUAUGGCUAUAAACCUGUGUUACUGAAAGACAACAUCUAAACUGGGCUAUUUCCAUAUAUGACUCUGAGCUCAUGCUUAGACCCCAUGAUUCAGUCCAACUCCAAUGACCCUCAGAACACCACUGUCCAUGAGCAAAUACAAAAAAAAGUGCUAUUCUCAUGUCCUGUUGUACUUUAGAAAUCCCACUCUACAAGCCUCAUCAAAUGAAUUGAAUUCCUUUUGUUAAAUCCUUUACACAAAGCUGAAAUUGUAAACAUCAGAAAACUUAUCAUGAAAUAAAACCACAUAAAAUGCUUU